GACGAACCGUGCGAACGUUAUUCGGAAUCACUGGCUUAAAGCGCGUGUAGGCGGGACGGCACGUCGGUCGCUGAAAUCCCCCGGCUCAACCGGGGAACGGGCGCCGCAUACGACCGCCCUGGAGGGACGUAGGGGGCCUGGAACUUCCGGUGGAGCGGUGAAAUGCGUUGAGAUCGGAAGGAACGCCCGUGGCGAAAGGCGAAGGUCCUGGACGUUUUUCUGACGCUGGGACGCGAAAGCCAGGGGAGCGAACGGG
rnacentral:rRNA from 1 species